rnacentral:misc_RNA from 1 species
GAGACAGCAAAGCGGGUAGAAGAAGCUAUACAGAAGAAAGUUGAAGAGAGCUUAAAUUCUGAGGAGAUCAAGCUGGAGAUACAGAGGCGUUUGGAGGAGGGAAGGAAAAGACUUCAUGAAGAAGUUGCCAUUCAACUUGAGAGAGAAAAAGAAGCUGCUCUUAUUGAGGCAAGGAGAAAAGAGGAACAAGCUCGAAAAGAAAAAGAAGAGUUGGAAAAAAUGCUUGAAGA